rnacentral:rRNA from 1 species
AGCGAACGUUAGCGGCGGGCCUAACACAUGCAAGUCGAACGAGAAAACCUUCGGGUGAGUAAAGUGGCGCACGGGUGAGGAACGCGUAGGUAAUCUACCCUCUGGCGGGGGACAACACUCCGAAAGGAAUGCUAAUACCGCGUAAGACCACAUGUACUACGGUGCGAGUGGUAAAAGGUGCCCAAAGCACCACCAGAGGAUGAGCCUGCGUCCCAUCAGCUUGUUGGUGAGGUAAAAGCUUACCAAGGCGAAGACGGGUAGCUGGUCUGAGAGGAUGAUCAGCCACACUGGCACUGGAACACGGGCCAGACUCCUACGGGAGGCAGCAGUGAGGAAUAUUGGGCAAUGGGCGAAAGCCUGACCCAGCCACGCCGCGUGUGUGAUGAAGGCCUUCGGGCUAAAGCACUGUGGGAGGGACAAAACAGCGCAUCAGGAAAUGGGUGCGCCUUGACGGUACCUCCUUAGCAAGCACCGGCUAACUCUGUGCCAGCA